GGACAGCUAGCUCAGUGGUAGAGCACUGCCUUCACACGGCAGGGGUCACAGGUUCGAACCCUGUGCUGUCCACCA
rnacentral:tRNA from 1 species